rnacentral:tRNA from 1 species
CAAAAGUUAGUUUAUUUAGAAUAAUUGCUUUGGGUGCUUUAGGAUUUAUCUUUUGA